AUGUCAGCUCGUAGCGACACGCCGGCGAGCUCGCCACACCCCUACCAUGCUGCAACGCAGCACUGCCGAGCGGCCACGCCCGGCCAGCUCGUAGCGAGACGCCGACGAGCUCGCCACUCCCUGACCAUGCUGCAACGCAGCACCGACGAGCGGCCGCUCCCGCGUCCGGCCAACUCGUACCGAAACGACGGCAAGCUCGCCAUGCCCCGAGCAUGCUGCAACGCCGGCGACGAGGUCUUCAUUGCAGCACCGGCGAGCGCUCCAUUGCAGCACUGGUGGACGACAACGAGGGCGUCAUUAAAGCACUCGGCUGCCGGGCAACGAGGCCUUUCAUCGCAACACCGGUGGCCGGCAAGCGCUCCAUUGCAGCGCCGACGAGCGCUCCAUUGCAGCGCUGGACGAAGCACCGACGAGCGCUCAUUGCAGCGGCGGCGAGCACCCCAUCGCAGCACUGGUGGACGGCGAGGAGGGCUUCAUUGUACAGCACCCGGCGGCCGGCGACGGGGGCUUUCAUCGCAGCCCCGGUGGCCGGGAAGCGCUGCAUUGGAGCGCCGACGAGUGCUCCAUUGUAGUGCCGGGAGGAGGCGCCAGCAAGCUCUCAGUCAUUGCAGUGCCGGCAACUGCUCCAUUGCAUCGCCGGGAGCGCUCCAUUGCAGCUCCGCCGCCCCAAGACUUGCAGCGGUGGUCGGUGGGUGA
rnacentral:rRNA from 1 species